CCUGUAACACCGUGCCAUCGUUCCGAUCAAACGGACGCUCUUCUCCUUGAAAUUCCUUUUUCUAUUUCAUUUCAUUUCAUUGUUCUUUUUUCUUUUCUUUUCUUUUCUUUUCUUUUCUUUACUUUUCUUUUUUCACAGUCAAAAAUCUAAUUCAACAAACUUACAUUUUCGCACGAAACCAUUUUGUCGUCAGAGUUGCAAGUCAUACAUACACGUAUACAUAUGUGUCUUGCAACGAAUACCUAUUACGUACAUAUGUGCACCAACUCCUCGACGAAGGAACGGAUAGGAGGAAAAUAGAAGAUACGGCGAGAACGUAAGGUGUACCAUCAACGUGCUAGACAAUUUUAGUUUUAAAAAAAGCCCGAACAAGUUAUUUUUAUUGUUGCUAUUGUUGUUAUUAUUAUUAUGGCUGUACUCGAAGCGUUCAAUUGUGUUUUAACGUGAUAAUUGGGGAAAGAGAUUAGAUACUUUUUCCAAUGUCGCGAUUUCUUUCUUUUUUUUGCACACUUUUGAAAAAAGUUUCUUUCCUUGCAAAUUUAAGAUUAAAAUUCACAUCAAACUUUAAAUAUUAAUUGCAACUAUCCAAAAUAAAAACGCACUUCUUUUCUUACGUAAAUUAUCGAGAAUACAAAAAGAAAAAAAAAUCCGGGAAAAGAAAAAAGGAGACAAAAGAAUGAACGCGCGAUAGUGUGCGAUAUAGUUACGACGAAAGAGGAACGAAAGAGAUAGAAAACAAAAAAAAAAAAAGAGAAAGGAAAUACAUAUGUACUUUCCUAAACAUGCAAAGUUAUCGAAGAUGAAGUAGACUAGGUCAUUUGAUGAAUGACGUAAACAUGUCGAGGAUAACGGCAGCCACAAUGCGUUCGUACUCCGAGUUUGCAAAAUACUAAUCUAAAAACUUAUUCUAAAACAAUGAAAAACUAUUUCUAAUAGUCUAAUGUAUUUGAUACUUUAAAAAACGGAGUACGAAUGUUUUCGUACAGCAAGUGUGCGUCGUAAAUCAUCAAGAAGUGACAAGCGUGUUUUAACAUAAAACAAAGAGGGAGUCAAAAAGGAAGUAGAAGAAAAGUAAAGAAAAGAAAAGAAAAAAGAAAGAAGAAAGAUAGAGGAAACGAACGAACGAAAACAAAAAUAAAACAAAAAAAGAAAGAAAGAAAGAAAAAGAGAAGAAAAAAAAUAAUUAAAAAACUAGUGUCAUUCUCUCAUGCACACAGCGAAGGUGAAGAAGAUAAGAAGAAGAUACGAUCAAUCGCGAUCGGACAUAUUUACAAAUGUUUUAAAAUAGUACGUACCUACUUGACGUCACAAGCCGCGUUAAAACAGGGCACAUCUCGAGACCUCGAUAGAAAAAGAGAAAGAGAGAGAGAGAAAGAGAAAGAGAGAGAGAGAGAGAGAGAGAGAAAGAGAGAGAGAAAGAAAGAGAGAGAGAAAGAAAGAGAUACAAAUAACACCGAUUCGGACCAUCAAUGUACCCUUAUUCCCGGUAUUCAAGCGUGCACCCAAUGUGCAUAACAACUAUGUAUAAUAAUUAUAAAUCUAUGUAUUUAAAUACUCGACGAUGUAAUUUGCGUGGAAGCGAGCGAGCACAUACACACGUACGAGUGCUUUGCUCAAACCGGGAACGAUGGAUCGUCCUCGUUAAGAGGACUCUCCAGGGGGUGGAGACUCUUGCGAAGGAACAACGAAAUAUAGAUCAUAGUGUGCGAGUACCUACAACCGUCCGUUAUAUUCUCGUAAACUUAACGAGAAAAUAUGACAUCUGUGGAAGUAACUUCAUUUGAAUUUCCAGUUGCCCCAUAAAUCGUUGCAAGUAUGUGUGUGCACGUCUCCGUUAUUUUACAAAUUAAAAUAGUCCGAUCUUCUUUAACUAUGAAAAAUUUUCAAGGGAAAUUUUUUCUCUUCAAAAAUUAUUAAAAAUUAUAUAUACGAUUAAUUAUAAUUCUUACGAUUCAUAAAGAAUUCUCUCUCUCAUGAUCGUGUUUAAUAUUAAAAUAUUAAUAUUUAAAAUAUGUCACACGUUGUUCCUUCGCUCGAUUUAGUCCUCAUAAAUUUUUAUUCGAAAUUGAUAUUGAUCACUUUUAUAACUGAUUACUUGUGAUCGCUAUUAAACCGACAGUUUUAUCCCAUUCCCUCCAACCCCACUUCCAUCUCUUAUCCCCAUCUCCCAGGACUCUUUUCUUCAUAGGAAAUUAAUACAAUAAUAUCGACGUAAGAUGCGAUUAUACUUUAGAGAGAAAAAAGAAGAAAAAAAAAAAAAGAAAAAAAAAAAGAAAGAAAAGAAAAUAAUCCAUAAUACGUCUUAAUAUGCAUCUCGUACUUUCCCUUGAUGGUAUUAAAAAAUCAUCUGAAGGUUAUAUAAGAACGAAAAAUAUCUUCUUCCUAAAAUUAACGAAACUGUUAAAAUUACAAAAGAUAAAAAAUAAAAAUAAAAAGAGAGGAAAAAAAUAAUCAUUUCGAGUAAAAUCGAUUAUUAUUUUAAAAGUCACUCGAAAGGCACGUACAAACGGUACGUAAAUUUCUCCCCACUCUUCCUAGAUUUUCGCAAAGUGACAAAGAUGGACGAUAAACAAACUAACAAACAAACAAACUAACAAACUAACAAACUAACGAACUAACGAACGAUCAAACAAAACAAACAAACAAACAAACAAACAAAUGAAAGAAAAAAAAAAGAAAGAUAGAAAGGGAGAAUUAGAUACGGUCCAAUCUUGUUCGAAAUUGUACGUAUAUAUACAACGAAAUCCACAAAGGAGUAAUCGCGUAGGACAAUAGAGACGAGAGAAAAAGAAAAAAAGAAAAAAAAAUAAAUAAAGAAUAAAGGAAAAGCUCUUUGAGUAAAAAAAUUUGAGGGAAAACAAGAGAAAAAAAAGUAUUAUUAGAUACCAUUAACCGACAAGACUUUUUCUACCGAUCGAUGUUAAUAUCGAGUGCAGU